UAAUAUGACUCAUUGUUAUCCCCAGUUCCCCACCUCUCUAAGAAUGCCCUGUAUGGUUCAUUGUCCAUUGUUGAUGAGAGUAUAUGCAGAGGGCCUUGCAGCCUUUUCCACUAAGAGACGGCAUUAUUGUUAGUUUGUUGAAGUGACUGUUUUCCAGAUAUGCUGCUAUCUCUUGUUCUACGGAAAGGAAAAGGCUGCCGUCAUUUGUUUGAAGAGAAGAAAUUUCACUGGAGUGGACUUCACACUUUCUUUUUUGUUUAGCAGUGAGUUUACAGUAUGCUGUAUUUAUUACUAGUACUAAAUUAUUUGAAUUUAUUAUUUAAUAUAAUAAAACAUUUGAAAUUAUU